GUUUAUCAGGGAUCCUUAGGAUAGGUGUCAAUCCAUAUCUGCCAAGUCACCCUAUGUAGGGGGAACAGUCCCUAUUCUGCUCUGUGUCAUUGUGUAUCAGGGAUCCUGAGGAUAGGUGUCAAUCCAUACCUGCCAAGUGACUCUAUUUAGGGGGAACAGUCCCUAUUCUGCUCUGUGUCAUUGUGUAUCAGGGAUCCUUAGGAUAGGUGUCAAUCCAUAUCUGCCAAGUGACCCUAUGUAGGAGGAACAGUCCCUCUUCUGCUCUGUGUCAGUGUGUAUCAGGGAUCCUUAGGAUAGGUGUCAAUCCACACCUGCCAAGUGACCCUAUGUAGGGAGAACAGUCCCUAUUCUGCUCUGUGUCACUGUGUAUCAGGGAUCCUGAGGAUAGGUGUCAAUCCAUAUCUGCCAAGUGACCCUAUGUAGGGGGAACAGUCCCUAUUCUGCUCUGUGUCAGUGUGUAUCAGGGAUCCUGAGGAUAGGUGUCAAUCCAUACCUGCCAAGUGACCCUAUGUAUUGGGAACAGUCCAUAUUCUGCUCUGUGUCAGUGUGUAUCAGGGAUCCUGAGGAUAGGUGUCAAUCCAUACCUGCCAAGUGACCCUAUGUAUUGGGAACAGUCCCUAUUCUGCUCUGUGUCAGUGUGUAUCAGGGAUCCUGAGGAUAGGUGUCAAUCCAUACCUGCCAAGUGACCCUAUGUAUUGGGAACAGUCCCUAUUCUGCUCUGUGUCAGUGUGUAUCAGGGAUCCUGAGGAUAGGUGUCAAUCCAUACCUGCCAAGUGACCCUAUGUAGGGGGAACAAUCCCUAUUUUGCUCUGUGUCAGUGUGUAUCAGGGAUCCUGAGGAUAGGUGUCAAUCCAUAUCUGCCAAGUCACCCUAUGUAGGGGGAACAGUCCCUAUUCUGCUCUGUGUCAGUGUGUAUCAGGGAUCCUUAGGAUAGGUGUCAAUCCAUAUCUGCCAAGUGACCCUAUGUAGGGGGAACAGUCUCUAUUCUGCUCUCUGUCAGUGUGUAUCGUGGUCUCUGAGGACAGGUG